GGGGAUAUAGCUCAGGGAAAGAGCAUUUGACUGCAGAUCAAGAGGUCCCUGGUUCAAAUCCGGGUAUCCUGUAACA